ACGGAGGGUGCAAGCGUUGCUCGGAAUCACUGGGCGUAAAGCGCACGCAGGCGGCCGAUUAAGUCGGGUGUGAAAGCCCGGGGCUCAACCCCGGAACUGCAUUCGAAACUGCUCGGCUUGAGUACGGGAGAGGGAAGCGGAAUUCCUGGUGUAGAGGUGAAAUUCGUAGAUAUCAGGAGGAACACCAGCGGCGAAAGCGGCUUCCUGGCCCGAUACUGACGCUCAUGUGCGAAAGCGUGGGGAGCAAACAGG
rnacentral:rRNA from 1 species